UUCCGGAGCGGGCCCCGGUGGAGGGCUGCCCGCCGGCCCGGGCCGGCCCCGGCAGCACACCCGCCCUUUGCCGGGAGCGCCUCAACGAGCCCCUCGGGAGCCUGUAAGAGCCGGAGGGCUGAGGGGAAAGAAGAGGGAGGCGGUGAAGGCACCAGGUGGCCUCUGUCCUCUCCCUUCGCUGUAAAGCCGCUUAAGGCUACUCCUCCUACGGUGUUUGUCCUUUAGGGCAAAGGUUUCCGUCACGCCAAACGUGGGCCGAGGCCUGGGCGUAGCUGCCCGCUCGGUCUGACAGACACCCCUCCCCGGGGGUCCGGGGAGGAGAGGCGAAGCAAGAGGGAGGAAUCAGAGGCUCACAGCAGUCUGGUAACGACUUAUAGAGUGGUUUGCGAUGAAGUUAUUCUAUUUGGUAAACAGAUUAAUUAAGGAGGAAAUUAACGGACUCCCUAGAGAAGUCCCAGCGCUUUGUUUCUGUGCUCAUUAUCCAGCACCUGCCACUUGAGUGCUUUCAGCUUCCAGGCAGCUUCUUAGAUGUAAAUAAACUCUGCACUGAGAGACGGAGGCUCAGUAUGGAUACCAUCUUGCACCUAUGUAAACUGGUGAGAAAUCUUUGUUCCACAGCAGAAAUACCUCAAAGCUGAAUACAGGCAGUUCGAGAAGUUCUCCUUGAGGGGAGCUCAAUAUCAACACAGGAGGACCCACUGUUUUCCUGCUUACAAUGUGCUUUGGUUCUGCAUAUAGUCUUAAAAAAAAUCCACAAAUUCAGUACCAUGAGACCACUACUAUUAGCCAUCAGCUCAUUCUAACAAAACCACAGGCAAUGUUUCUGCCACCAAAGAUACUUCAAAGAUUGAUGGCUCGAACUUUCCUUGAAGCGUUAUGGAAAAUGACUAACAUACUAACGAGCAACACAAAAUGUCAUUGUCAACACACUGGGAGAACCAUUCUAGCUCAAAUUCUCAAAGGUACUCAGAGAAUUUUACUGUCAGCUUCAAAGGGACAGGAUUCCAACCUUAAUAUUUUUUUCUUCUGAUUCUUUAGAAACCGCUUUACCUGUUCUAUUUGGUUUAUGCUAUAAUCCCCCUAAAAUUCUGAGUUUAUACUGACAGAAAACUUUUCAAAAAGGGGUAGAGCGCCAGAUAAACAGUGGCCCUUGCUGCCCUUCUGAAAUCCCAUUAUGGCCCAAUUAUGUUGGUUUCCAAAUUAAUCAGACAAUAACACUUCCCACAUAUGUCUAUUCAUCCCUGAAAAGCAGCUUUCUGUAUUACCUUGCCCUCAUUUUACUCAAAUUGGUAUUUUCAAAACAUACCAAGUUUGGUGUUCUCUAAUCAUUCCUCUCAAACAUAGCAUUUUGUAAAAUAACUGUGACUCCUUAAGAAAGAUCAUACUAUCUUUGAACGUAUUUCUAUUUUAUGACAAAACAACAGCUGAAGCAAAACCUAUUGUUUUAACAUGCACAUUUAGUUACUUUGAUAUGUAGUCUUAAAACUUUUCUGCAUAGUGAAAGUUACAUCGUUUCAAAACUCGGCUGUAUGUAAAGUGUACAAUAAAAGUACAACAUAAACAAAAUAGUUUAUUACAAGUAUUUCAAGAGCUCUACAAUACACUUUCAAAACACUUUAUACAGUAUUCUCUUUCAAUAUGAAACAAUUCACAUAGGGAGAAAAAUUCUCAAUAUGUAACUAUAUUAUUAACAUAUUGAAUUCAUCUGUCAUACAAAAAUCACAGUAACUACAGACUGUUUCCAACUAUCUUUCCUGGUUUUGUUCUCUCUGAAAAUGAGAAACAGUAACAUGUACAAAAAUAAAAUAAAAGUUUUCUUCACUCUUCAUUUAUACCAAAUACUACAAAGCUCAUGCCACAACAAAACCUAGAUAAAUAAUUUCAAAUUUUUUUUACAAAAAUCAAAACCAUUUUACUUAAAUAAAUAUAGAUCUAUUUAAAUCAUGAAAAGAAUGUCAUGUUACUUACAGAUAUGUUAAUUUAGAAAUAGGAUUAAAAACUUCAUGGUUCAACUAUUCAAAAAUUGCAUAACAAAGGAAAAUAUCCUAAAAAGGUAGUUUUCAGAGGAAAAAAAAAAGAAACUUUAUUCUUGUUCAUAAUUAAUAAAGCUCCAUUGCACUUACGCUUUUUGCCAGCCCUACAGGAACAAUGGGCAAAGCUCCCUACUUACCAGAAAGUAUAACUACUGAUUCUAUUAAUACAAAAUUGGAAUUACUUAAUUUGAGCUAAAAGUUAUUUUCAGUCUCUUAUAUUUAAUGUAACAAGAACAUGACUUCCCAACAAAACUGCUCGUCUGAAUUAUUACCACAUUUCAGAGAACAUUUCUUUUACUGGUGCAACAUGUGUGCUAGACAGGAGACUGGAACAGAUAGUAAGCCCAUUUACAAUGUUAAUGAUAAUUUCUUGUCUUCUUUUCUUGCAGAAAAAUAGUUCGGUAUUGCUUGAACUGGCCAAAAAAGCUAGAAAAGGCAAGGGAUACACAAAGAAGUGGUAAAGUGGAUUAACUGAUUAGAAACCCUGCUAUUUUAGCAUUAUCUACUUAUAUUUUAUCAUAAAAAGGGAAAAGAUCCAAUUCCUCAUCCACAGAUCUCCAAGCACAUUACAAAGCAGGUAACAUUUUUCUAUUAACUCCUCUAUAAUGCCACAUCAAUAUUUUUUUCUCAUUAUUUUCCCCCUUCUCUACUUACUUAUUUUCUGCAUCUUCUAUUUGUUUUUUUUUUAGGAAGUAUGAAAUAAAUACAGCAACUGUCCUUUGUGUGCAAUGUAUAGGGAUCCAGAAGAAAGUAAAAGGACCAUUUUUUCUCUAUUCUAGAAGUUAAGCUUUUUAUCUUUACUUUUCUGGUAGUUAUAAUUGGACAGCAUAACAUAAAAUCCUGUACAGAAAAAGGUAUAACUUUUAAAAUAUAUGACUCGUGCAGCACUGCAGAUUGCUGCAACACUAUUAAUACAGUGAGAAUCUGUACUUAUGAAUUAAUUUAGGAAAAUAAAUGCAAAGUGGCUUUUCUGUUGCAA